rnacentral:misc_RNA from 1 species
CCGCGCCGUCGCGGGCCGGCUCGGCAUCCGCUCGACAGCGCCCGUCGAUGCACUGAGCUCCGAGCUCGCCGGCUCGUUCGACGUGGUCGUCCUGGUCGGCGCCGAUCGCAGUUGAGGGGCCACGAGAUGGCAGUCCGCAGGGCGAGGAACAAAGCGGUGGGGACCACCAGGUAGGCCCGCUCGGGUGAGCCUGAACCGAUCCGCGCUCGCCCAUCAGGCGUUUGUCGCGCCACUCGUGUUCGCGCUUCUGGUCGCCGCCACGAUCGCUGCGUUCUUCAUCGAUGCUUACGU